UACGUAGGGGGCAAGCGUUGUCCGGAAUUAUUGGGCGUAAAGCGCGCGCAGGCGGCUCUUUAAGUCUGGUGUUUAAUCCUGAGGCUCAACUUCGGGUCGCACUGGAAACUGGAGAGCUUGAGUGCAGAAGAGGAGAGUGGAAUUCCACGUGUAGCGGUGAAAUGCGUAGAGAUGUGGAGGAACACCAGUGGCGAAGGCGACUCUCUGGGCUGUAACUGACGCUGAGGCGCGAAAGCGUGGGGAGCAAACAGG
rnacentral:rRNA from 1 species